UACAGAAUCAAGACGUUGUUUACAUCUGAGGAUCAUGGGUCGAGUAGUUGGUGUGAUGGCCGCCGUGUUGCUGGUGGCGCUGGUGGCCGCUGCUUCAGGCGUGUGUAGGAAUCCUCACCUUAAACUGAAGCAUAGGGGCACCUGUGAGGACGGCCCAGGGACCCAGUGGUGAGAAGGUGUCGAUGAAGACUGAACCUUGACUGAAAGGCCAUCAGUCAACACACAGACAGUCACUACUGCUCCUGAUCCACCUGACUGAAGCCUCUCACUUCACUCUUAUUGUGUGCUUCACCUGUCACUCAGUAAAUACCAAUUAACUAACA